rnacentral:rRNA from 1 species
CCCUUAGAUGUCCUGGGCCGCACGCGCGCUACACUGACAUGUUCAACAAGUUUCUCCUAGUUCGACAGGACUGGGAAAUCUUUGAACGCAUGUCGUGAUAGGGAUAGAUUAUUGCAAUUAUUGAUCUUGAACGAGGAAUUCCUAGUAAACGCGAGUCAUCAGCUCGCAUUGAUUACGUCCCUGCCCUUUGUACACACCGCCCGUCGCACCUACCGAUUGAAUGUUUCGGUGAAGAUUCCGGAUAGGACUGAUUUGAUUUAUUUCAUUUCUGACCUAAAAGCUAUCUAAACCUCAACAUUUAGAGGAAGGUGAAGUCGUAACA